rnacentral:rRNA from 1 species
AUUGAACGCUGGCGGCAUGCCUAACACAUGCAAGUCGAGCGGCAGCAGGGGUCUUUCCCCUUGAUUCCGCGUCGCGCGCGUGUGUGUUACACAUGAGUCUGCCUGCUGGAGUGGGAUAAAGUCCGGCAACGGCCGCUUUUAUACCAUACGCCCUGUGGGGGAGAGUGGGGGGUACUCGGACCUCUCGCUCUCUGAUGAUCCCAGGUCGGAUUAGCUAGUUGGUGGGGUAAAGGCCUACCAAGGCGACGAUCAGUAACUGGUCUGAGAGGAUGAUCAGCCACACUGGGACUGAGACACGGCCCAGACUCCUACGGGAGGCAGCAGUGGGGAAUUUUGGACAAUGGGCGAAAGCCUGAUCCAGCAAUGCCGCGUGUGUGAAGAAGGCCUUCGGGUUGUAAAGCACUUUUAUUUGGAAAGAAGGGCAGGAAGUUAAUACCGUCGGGGGAUGACGGUACCAGAAGAAUAAGCACCGGCUAACUUCGUG